AACCUAUCCUUUCCCUAGUAACUCGCCAUUAGCCUUAACUCUUCCUCGUGAACCCUCUCAUCUCUCGUGACUUGCCUUAGUCAUUAACCCUUACCACUUCCCAAGCCGAGACCUUAACCUCCCCUCUUCAAUACCCUCGUAACCCCACAUUAGCAUUAACUAGGCAUUAAACCUAGGCUCGUUUGAGACCCUAACCAUAAUCCUUGACCUAGACCUAGCCCGAGUCACCUAAGUUAGCCUACCUGGCCUACCUCACCCUCUCUAGCUAAUCCUUAGCCGUGAGUGCCAUUAACCCUCCUAGCCUCCUCGGACUUGCUCACCCGUGAGCUAACCCAGAACAAGAAGGCCAGGAAACACCCUUAGCACUUAUCUUCCAUUCCCAAGCUCAACUCUCAUCCCACGCUUGGUUCCCUUCGCCUUGGAAUCCCUUAGCUAGGUCUUCCCCAAGGCAGCCCGUGGCCAUAGGCGCUCAUCCAGCAGCGUUACAUCCAUCCAACCAUCACCCUCGGCCAGGCAGGCCGAGUCCCUUGAGGCAUCAGCGUCGUCUCGACCAGGCGGGUUGAGCCAUUCAGCCGUGUUCAGGCGUUCCCCUCGGCCAGGCGGGCCAAGCCUUCACGGCAGCAGCAACACCCUUCGGCCAGGCGGGCCGAGCCUCUUGCGGCAACACCAUCACCCUCGGCCAGGUGGGCCGAGCCCCAGCGGUGCCAUCGUCUCCUUCGGCCAGGCGGGCCGAACUUCAUCCACACCAUCCGCGCAGCAGGCCCCUCAUCUCCAGUCACUUCCGCACCUCUUCACCAACCGUCGUCGUGGCCGACAAGUCUAGGUCAGUAGUCUUUUGUCUUUGUAGUUUGUUUAUCGUUGAGUCUAGUGAGUCGUGAGUGGAUACAAUAUCCCUCACAGUUGUAUCAGCCUACCCUCUUAGUUUUCUUGUAGUAGGAUUAAACCGUGAUUGGGAUCACCUUACCUGUAUCCUCGUCCUAGGGAAGUGUCAAGUCGGGGUUCCUGUCCGGCAAGGUCAUUGCAUUUUAGGUUUCUUUUAGUUUACUUCUCGGUCUGUAGCUACCCCGAGUGGUCUUGGGAUAGGGAUCGGCUUAGGGCAGCGAUUUCACUAGCUCCUGGGUCUGGGAUCCUUACAGAAACCAUGCCUGAUCAGAUGUACAAAUUAGAAUCUAGACAAGCUGAAAAGAUAUGUGAGUUGGAAGCCAUACAUGCUGCAAAGAGAUAUGAACUGGAAGCUAAUACAAAAAAGGUAAACAAGUUAAAAGCCCAAAAGUAGAUGACAAUGUUGGAAGAAAAAAACUAUGGUAAAUAUUCAAUGAAAUACGUUAAUUUUUUUUAGGUCUAUGAUCAGUAGAAAAGUAUAUGAUUUGUUAGGUUUGGCAUAACUCUUUUCUUGUUGUACUUUCUUAAAUAUAUUUAAAAAUAGCUUCAAAUGUCAUGUGCAUCUCAGUCAAAAAAAUAUUAUGGUGCAUGAAGUAGAAACAAAUCAUGCUGUUCAGAUGCAUAAAUUAAAAGCUAGACAAGCAGAAAAUAUAUACAAGUUAGAAGUCAUACAUGCGAAAAAGAUAUAUGAACUAGAAGCUAAUACCAAAAAAAUAAACAAGUUAAAAGCCCAAGUCAAGAUGUUGAUGACAAUGUUGAAAAAAAAACUAAUUGAUAAAUAUUCAAUGAAAUAUGUUAAGUUUUUUAAGUCUAUGAUCAGUAUAUAUGAUUUGUUAGGUUUGACAUAACUCUUCUCUUGUUGUUAAUUUUAUAAAUUUAAAGAUAGCUUCAAAUGUCAUGUGCAUCUCGGCUAAAAAAAAAAUUGUGGAAGAAAAUGUUUGGUAUUAACUAAUUUAAGUUUACAUGUUGAUUGUCAGAAUGCUUUUCAGACAUACAUGUCAUCUUUCAGAUGUAAAAGCUAUAUUUAUCAUUAUUGGUACUGAGGGAGAAUGUGAUAUUCAGUUCCUCAUCCCAUGGGAGUAUGACUUUAUAUCUUAUCAGGCUCCCUUCAUCUCCAAAGGCAAGAAAUGUUGUUGACUUUAAACUAUUCAAUGCUUUAAUUAAGUUGUACUUUCCAUAUUUACAAUUGAUAGCAUGCAAUCACUGUGCCUUAAUGAGUUUGGGUGAGAAAAUGUUGUUUAACCAAGCAGUCAAUAGACAACUCUGAUCCAUCACAUAUUUAGUGGCAAUCUCCAGUCUCAGUGAGUUUUUUGUAUUUAGGCGAUUUGAGUAGUCAAGAGACUCAUAAUAAUUAUCAUAAUUUAUGAUCAUUAGAUAAUUAACACUAUGUUUAGAAAUUAAUUGAUUAAGUGGUCAAAAUUUAUGGAUAAUUAUCAUAGCAAUGGAGGUUGGCCAUGAUCAGCUUGGUUUCUUUGAACAGUCAGCACUAAUGUAGGCACCUUGCUAUGGUUACUAGGAAGCCAUUCUAACCUCAUUCUUUGCAAAUCCAAUGUAAGAUUCUUGUUUUUAUGUGAAUUUGUACUUGUAACUCUAUUAUGUAUUAUAUAUGAUUCGCUUAAAAGAAUAAUUCUUUUGAACAUUCUUUGGCUUCUUUUUGUAAAUUCAUAAAGCAGAUUAUCUCUCAAUGGUGGCACUGCCCUUCGUUUAUGGGCAUCCCUAUUGUAUGAGUCUCCUCUUUGCUGACUAUAUUCCUAUGUGGCGGGAAUUUAGAAAGUUUUUCCAACAACUUCAUCAAAAUAUGCAUCGAAUGUGGCAUUCAAAGAGAGGUACAUUGGUUGAACUUUUUAUAUCCUUAUUGUUUUUUUUUUUUCAAUAUCUCAUGGUGGGCAUAAAGGUAAAUAGAGUUUUCCUUUUUCUUUUUACUCUUAUGAAUGAACUAUCUAGAAUUAUUAAUAAACCACCAAAUGGUGGAAUCGCUGGACUUCAUAUGGCCCCAUUAAAUGAGCGUGUUCAGUUGCAUUUGGAUAUGGGUGCCUUUGUCUGUAAGGUGACUGUUGUAGAUCUGACAACAAUUGACUUGAUUGGUUAUUAUCGUAUUCUUGAAACACAUUUCUUGAUCUUUAUGAAGCUUUUAUUUGACCUACUUAUGUUUGCAAUUCUUGCACACUUUAGAGUUAAAAUCUUGACCGUUUGAGUUGCAAAGUGUCCACAUCCAUAGAAAUCCAUUAAACAAGCUAUUCAAGGGAGCAACUUUUAAACCAAAUCAAAUUCUAUUUUUUGUAUUUUGUUGUAGCUAAACAGCAGUUUCAAAAGAUUCUCCCAAUUUUUAGCUUCUCUAGGUAAGAACUGGCAAUAAAAUUUGGAUGCUUGUGUAUUUUAGUGCAUCAGAUAUUUAUAAAACUUUUAACUUGUAAUAUUCAGUAAUCAUAAUGCAUUGUACCUUAUUUCAGAGGUUUAAGUCAUUAAUUUUCUGUUCAAGUGUCCUACAUCUUGUUCCAUGCUUCACUUUUGUUGGUGCAGUCUAGUGGCACAUAAACUUGUAAUGUUUUUUCUUCCAGUCCUUUAUCUUUAUCUUCAUAUUGCUAAAAUGUUUAUUAACUAUUAUGUCUAGUAAAAUCUUCUUAACCAAAGUGGAAAUACGCUUCAUAAGGCUAAAAAUAUAGGUUUCCAAUUAUUUAUAUGCCAGAUUUCACGAUUUUAAUGUAUUUUUUCCUUGAAAAGUAAGAAAAAUUGUUUAUUAACAUGGCCGAUGGUUCAAACAACUUCAUACCUAUAGAACUCUAGAGUAGUAUUUAACAAGUCCUUUCACAACAAUCAAAAUUUUUUGUGUUCAUGAUGGAUAAGGCAUAUGUAAUGUACAAUGAUUAUGACUAGUUAAAUAAACAGCUUAAGUAAAAGUAAUUUUUGAAUAAUAUUAUAAUAUAAAAUUAGAUAUUUUUGUCUCGUUGGGCCCUUUAAGAACAGUAUUUGCAAAAUCUUGAAACUUGGGAAGUAUGUGACAUUGAUGAGUAUAUGCAUGCAUACAUGCAACUAGUUUAAUUCAAGAAACUUAUUUCCCAAGAUUGUAUAAUCUUGACAGUUUCUCACUGUGAUUAGUAGGUUGGAUCUGGAUACAUUGUGCGGGAAACCUGGUACAGCGGCAUUCCAUGGUAUAUGGUUCCAUUUGUUGUUACAACUAACUAGCCUUAAUGAAGUUUUUGUUGUCCAUCCACUUCGAAACUGCUUGAAAUUUUGAAUUAUGGAAUGUCUUAGAUAGUACCUUCGUUGGUCAAUUUUCAGAUCAAAACUGCAGCAGGUGCUUGUAUGGCUUAUGGUUUGAACAGACGAGAGAGACCCUUGAAGUUUGGCUUUUUAACAUAGACUGAUACCUUAUCUUACUCAAUAUUGAAACACAUGGAAGUAUUCAUCUCACUAGAUGAGAUAAGAUCCUAGGUUGUAUGCUCGAGAUGUGAUAAUGUAUCCAAUAGAUAUGAGAACAUGAUGGAUUUAACUAUGGCUUUGUACACCAUUUGGAUUGCAGACCUACUGCACUUGGCAUCUCUUAAUGGCAGAUAUCCUUUGGGCAGAUAAUUAAAGUUAAUGGGGCUUAUGCUGACUAAUAGAAAGGAUCUGGGAGUAGGGUUCUCCUUCAACCAACCAAAUGAAGAAAUUGGUGAUGUUGGACAGUUGGAGUGAUGGGCUUAGCUAGAGGGCAACCAAAUCUCAGGGGAUUAGAUCUGUGUGGCUGCAUCUUCAUAAAUAUACAUAAUAUCUUGAAUUUAUUGUGUAUAAUUUUUAUGGUUUUAGAUUGGAUGGCGUAUCAUUCCCUGCAGUAAAUGUGGUGGGGAAUCUUCUUUGUUUAAUUCAUUUAGUUUUUGGUUGAA